rnacentral:rRNA from 1 species
GUGUUAGUGGAAGCGUCUGGAAAGGCGCGCGAUACAGGGUGACAGCCCCGUACACAAAAAUGCACAUACUGUGAGCUCGAUGAGUAGGGCGGGACACGUGGUAUCCUGUCUGAAUAUGGGGGGACCAUCCUCCAAGGCUAAAUACUCCUGACUGACCGAUAGUGAACCAGUACCGUGAGGGAAAGGCGAAAAGAACCCCGGCGAGGGGAGUGAAAAAGAACCUGAAACCGUGUACGUACAAGCAGUGGGAGCACGCUUCGGCGUGUGACUGCGUACCUUUUGUAUAAUGGGUCAGCGACUUAUAUUCUGUAGCAAGGUUAACCGAAUAGGGGAGCCGAAGGGAAACCGAGUCUUAACUGGGCGUUAAGUUGCAGGGUAUAGACCCGAAACCCGGUGAUCUAGCCAUGGGCAGGUUGAAGGUUGGGUAACACUAACUGGAGGACCGAACCGACUAAUGUUGAAAAAUUAGCGGAUGACUUGUGGCUGGGGGUGAAAGGCCAAUCAAACCGGGAGAUAGCUGGUUCUCCCCGAAAGCU